AGAGAUUUAAAUAAAAACAUUUGCAGGACUAAAUGAAUAAAGGUGUAGGACUGCACAAUGAAAAAGCCUGUUACUUAGAAUCUUAGCUAGAUUCCCUUUCAGUCAAAGUAGUUGGGUGGCUGAAUAGUUACAGA